rnacentral:rRNA from 1 species
GACGAACGCUGGCGGCGUGCUUAACACAUGCAAGUCGAACGGAAAGGCCCUGCUUUUGUGGGGUGCUCGAGUGGCGAACGGGUGAGUAACACGUGAGUAACCUGCCCUUGACUUUGGGAUAACUUCAGGAAACUGGGGCUAAUACCGGAUAGGAGCUCCUGCUGCAUGGUGGGGGUUGGAAAGUUUCUGCGGUUGGGGAUGGACUCGCGGCUUAUCAGCUUGUUGGUGGGGUAGUGGCUUACCAAGGAUUUGACGGGUAGCCGGCCUGGGAGGGUGACCGGCCACAUUGGGACUGAGAUACGGCCCAGACUCCUACGGGAGGCAGCAGUGGGGAAUAUUGCACAGUGGGCGGAAGCCUGAUGCAGCAACGCCGCGUGCGGGAUGACGGCCUUCGGGUUGUAAACCGCUUUCGCCUGUGACGAAGCGUGAGUGACGGUAAUGAGUAAAGAAGCACCGGCUAACUACGUG